rnacentral:rRNA from 1 species
AGGCAGCAGUCGGGAAUUUUGGGCAAUGGGCGAAAGCCUGACCCAGCAACGCCGCGUGAAGGAUGAAAUUUUUCGGAAUGUAAACUUCGCAAGAACGGGAAGAAUAAGUAGAAGCUAAUACCUUCUAUGAUGACGGUACCGUUUGUAAGCUCCGGCUAACUCCGUGCCAGCAGCCGCGGUAAUACGGGGGGAGCAAGCGUUGUUCGGAUUUACUGGGCGUAAAGGGCGCGUAGGCGGUCGUGACAAGUCACUUGUGAAAUCUCCGGGCUUAACUCGGAACGGUCAAGUGAUACUGUCGGACUAGAGUACAGAAGGGGCAACUGGAAUUCUCGGUGUAGCGGUGAAAUGCGUAGAUAUCGAGAGGAACACCUGCGGCGAAGGCGGGUUGCUGGGCUGAUACUGACGCUGAG